rnacentral:rRNA from 1 species
GAUGAACGCUGACAGAAUGCUUAACACAUGCAAGUCGAUGGGGAAGUGGUGCUUGCACCAUGGCAACCAUGGCGGACGGGUGAGUAACGCGUAAGGGACUUACCUGCAGGACUGGGAUAACAGGGGGAAACUCCUGACAAGACCGGAUAAUGUCAUGGAGCUGCAUGGCUUUAUGAUGAAAGGAGACGCCUGCGGAGAGCCUUGCGUCCUAUUAGCUAGUUGGUGAGGUAAUGGCUCACCAAGGCGAAGAUAGGUAGCCGGCCUGAGAGGGUGGACGGCCACAGGGGGACUGAGAUACGGCCCUUACUCCUACGGGAGGCAGCAGUGGGGAAUAUUGGACAAUGGGGGCAACCCUGAUCCAGCAAUUCUGUGUGCACGAAGAAGGUUUUCGGAUUGUAAAGUGCUUUCAGCAGGGAAGAAGUAAGUGACGGUACCUGCAGAAGAAGCGACGGCUAAAUACGUG